CUAAUCGUGUGGACCUUUCUUUUAGUAGUUCCCAUUUUAAUUAGUUUCAUUUGAAGGGAGUGGUGGGAGCAUUGUGCAUUGGAUUGCUCUUCCUCAUAAUGUAAGGGCCACAGACCCCCCAAAACUAUUUUAAUUGAAGUUUAAUGGAAUUGGCUAUUGUGGCUUUGUUGUCUUGCUGCUGGUUAUGAGAAACAGUAUUGAGGUAAGAGAUGCCUUUGGGAUUAGUGAGAUACUGACCAAAGCCAUAGAUGAGAGGGCUUAGUUUAGGGGUGUCAAUCCUAAGCCCGCACCGAUAGGCCCGACCUAGCCCAACUCGCUUAAGGCCCGACCUGAACCAGCCCAUUUAAUAAAUGUGUUGGGCUUAAACCCUACUCGUUUAUUAAAAAGGCAUUUACGGUGCAGAGUAGUAGCCCAUUGGGCACCCGACCAAUCCGACUCACUUAAGAAGCCCGUUAAAACUGACUCAUUUAACCCGACCAAUCUGACCCCCUUUAGAAAAAUGCCUAAAUAGUAAAUACCUAUUCUACCACUAAUACUACAAAAUAUGAGUAAGGAAUAGGACUAAAUGGUAAAUUCCUGUGGAAAAAAACCCUAAGGCCUAAUUGCCUCAAGAACUACUAGAACUCUGGAAGUCACAAGGAGCCGCUUCCCUCUUCCCUCAUCCCUCUUCCCUCUAGUCGCCUUAUGCCACUGGUAGUGGCUUCCCUCUGGUAGCCGCUGGUCGUCGGUACCGUCUUCCCUCUAGUCACCGCUGCUAGCUGCUACCCUCUUCCCUCUAGUCACCACUGCCCACUUCCCUCUAGUCUUCUUCAUCCUUAGCCUCAAGAUCAAAGAUUUGAUGAUGUGGUUUUACAUCUUAAUCUCUCAAGCUCUCAUCUUCCUCAAAUUUUCAGGCUCUGGUUUCCUUCGUAAGAGACUCUCUGGUUCUGAUAAAAUCAAAGAAGUCAUUGCUGGUUCUGAUAUAAGAUUAGUAAGCACAUGUUGGUGGAGCACAGAUAGAUUUGAAGUGAAGACGAGUUCUAUUUUAUUUUAGUAGUUGAGUUAAAAACAAUUACAAUAGACUUAUUAUGGUUUUAUUUGUAGCCACC